rnacentral:rRNA from 1 species
UACGGAGGGUGCAAGCGUUGUCCGGAUUUAUUGGGUUUAAAGGGUGCGUAGGCGGGUUAUUAAGUCAGUGGUGAAAGCCGGCAGCUCAACUGUCGAACUGCCAUUGAUACUGGUGACCUUGAAUUCAGUUGAGGUAGGCGGAAUUGAUGAUGUAGCGGUGAAAUGCAUAGAUAUCAUCAAGAACACCGAUUGCGAAGGCAGCUUACUGGGCUUGAAUUGACGCUGAGGCACGAAAGUGUGGGGAUCGAACAGG